rnacentral:pre_miRNA from 1 species
UAUGCCAUCGGAGGCGGGCUUAAUCUUUGGCUAAAUAGUGAACACAAUUCAAGCCUAUGUAGCCAAAGUUUGGGUCCGUCUCUAUGGCUAC